AAGUAAAUAUGAGCUUAUGCUCUUUUACAACAUUUGAUCAAAUCAAAUUACAACCAAAAUCUAAUCUACACAUUCCCAUGGUUCAAACAAAUUUGAAACGGCCUUUCACAUAGCUCAAUUAUAUUAGGCUUUGGUUCAUAAUCACUCUUUCUUUAAUUAAUUAACGCUUUAACCAAUUAAACUUGAAUGCAACAUUUUCAUUUGGUUUUUGUAUCCAUAAAUUGAUUUAAAUGGAGCUAAAUGAAAUGAAAAUCCAAUUCUCAUUUAAAGAGACAAAACAAUUUUGUUCUCAACCUAAAUGGGCAAAAAUGCAAUUACCACAACCUUUUGGGCUAUAUUGCAAAACACAAACUUUUGGGGUCACUUUGUAAAAACACAAAAGUCCACAACUUCAUGUAAUUACAACUAGAACCCAAAAAAUUCAAUAAAUAUAAAAACUUCAUUAAAGGAGCAAAAACAAUUUGUCCUUUAGCGUUUUUAGGCCUUAACGUCAAAACAUAAACUUUCGGGUCAAAAUACAAAUACACAAAAGUAUCAAAACUUUAUAUAAUUGCAUAAAAGCCCCAAAAAUACCAUAUUUUAAUAGGGUGGCCGGUUUUAGGGAGAAAAGAGAGAAAAGAUAAGUCCCCAAAAAUUUGGAAAUUUUUUCAACAAAUUCAUAAAGCCUUGCAAGUGGAACCAUGCAAGUGGAACCAUGCAAGUGGAAAUAAGUUGGUGUGUGUGUAAGAGUACUUCUUACACAUCCAUCAACAUUUCUAUCAUCACCUUACACAAUUUCAAUCACAUUAAACAUUUGAUAAAGCACAAAACAAAGACUUUAUGAAAUUAACCAAAACUUUGAAUCAAAACACCAAACUUUAUGUUCUUGGCAAGAACAUCAAGAACAAUGAAGAACAUCCAUGAAAACUUAUAAGAGCUCCAUGAACAUUUUCACUCAAUAAAACUCAAAUUUUCAUCACUCAAAAUGGGGCUAACAUCCUAGGGUACUUAGGGGUUCCAAAAGUCACUUUAAAACACCUUUAACAAGUCAAACAAGAACCCAAAAAUCCACCCUUUGGAUUUGGCCGAAAAUUCCCAAAAACAUUGCACCAAAUUUUAGCUCCAAUAUUCAUGCUCAUAUGAACUACAUCUACAACAUUUGAGAUGGCAAAUUUUCCAACAAAAUUUACAUUCAAAGAAACAAGAAUAAAGCUUGUAACAUAUUACAACAUUUAAAUCAAAACUAUGAACUACAAAACCCAAAAGGAUUCACCAACUACUAAACCUGGCUCUGAUACCACUUGAAGGAAAUUUUGGUAAAAACAUGUUCAUUUAAGCAACAUCAAUAGCAUGCAAUUAACAAUUAAAAGGCGGAAUCAUGCUUGUAUGCACUUAAAAACAAAACAUUAACCAUGAAAUUCAAAGCCUAGUAGAUUGGUGAACCAAGACUUAACUCAAAUCAAAGUGAGUUGAGAAAUUUAUACCUUUGUAGAUUCCUCUUUGCAUAAGCAAAGGCUAAUCACC
rnacentral:lncRNA from 1 species